AACCAGCUCUUCGAGUUGUGUCCACAAUUAUUGAGCUUAAAGCGUCCGUAGCUUGUUUAGUAGGUCCCUGCUUAAAUCCGGCCGCCUAACGGUCGGUCUGGUAGGGAUACCACUUUACUUGAGAGCGGGAGACGGCGACGGUAUUCCAUAGGUAGGGGUGAAAUCCUAUGAUCUAUGGAGGACCACCAGUGGCGAAGGCGGUCGUCGAGAACGCGUCUGACAGUGAGGGACGAAACCCAGGGGAGCGAAUCGGAUUAGAUACCCCCGUA
rnacentral:rRNA from 1 species